rnacentral:rRNA from 1 species
GACGAACGCUGGCGGCGUGCCUAAUACAUGCAAGUCGAGCGGAACUGGGGGAGCUUGCUCCUUCCAGUUUAGCGGCGGACGGGUGAGUAACACGUGGGCAACCUGCCCUGCAGAUCGGGAUAACUCCGGGAAACCGGUGCUAAUACCGAAUAGUUUGGCGCCUCUCCUGAGGCGCUACGGAAAGACGGCUUCGGCUGUCACUGCAGGAUGGGCCCGCGGCGCAUUAGCUAGUUGGUGGGGUAACGGCACACCAAGGCGACGAUGCGUAGCCGACCUGAGAGGGUGACCGGCCACACUGGGACUGAGACACGGCCCAGACUCCUACGGGAGGCAGCAGUAGGGAAUCUUCCGCAAUGGACGCAAGUCUGACGGAGCAACGCCGCGUGAGUGACGAAUGUUUUCGGAUCGUAAAACUCUGUUGUGAGGGAAGAACACGUACCAACUAACUAUUGGUACCUUGACGGUACCUCGCCAGAAAGCCACGGCUAACUACGUGCCAGCCGCCGUCGUAA